GUUCUCCGUAUCGGGACCUCCAUCUCGGUGGGCUCUGGAGCUUCGACGCUGGUCUGGUUUGAUCAUUGGGCCGGAGACACCCCCUUCGCGGCUCGCUUCCCUGGCCUCUUCUCCAUCUCCGUCGACCUCGUGAUUUCUGUUAUUAGGGCCCUUCUUGACUUAGGGCGCCUUGCUUUCCGGUGGGCCUUUGGACCCAUGGAAUCCACCGCCUGGCGUGAGUUGCUUGACUGUGUUGCUCUCCACAAACCGUUGGUGGAUGGUGGCCCUGACCUGGUGUGAUGGCGCCUUGAGCCUUUGGGCCAAUUCUCCACCAAGUCGCUAUACCUGGCCAUCGCCCCAUCUGUCGCCCCCCUCCCUCUUUCGAUGGUUUGGUCCAUCCGCCUGCCUCUGAAGAUCCGCAUCUUCAUGUGGCAAUGGAUUCGCGGUCGGAUCCCGUCCGGGGUGGAGGUGCGCAAGCGCAAUGGCCCGGGUACUGGCAUAUGCCCGCUCUGUGGGGUUCCCGAACACUCGAACCACAUUUUCUUCUCCUGCGUUUCCGCCCAGUUCCUCUGGAGCUAUUUUCGCGAAGCGGUCGGUGGAGAUUGGUGCCACACCAACUUUCCGGACUUAUUUGCCGAACUCCAGAUGUCCCCCGCGACUUCUCGCCACAUUAGGUGGCUUGAGAUUGGGGUCCUCGCCUGGACCCUUUGGACUGUCCGCAAUAAGCUAGUGAUUCAGCGCUCUCCUCUUCGUCGGUCUACUGACGCUCUCUUCAAACUCUCGGGUUUCUUGCAGCUUUUGCGGCCGCUUAGCCGCCCCCGGACCGCGACGCCAUCUCAGCCUUCAUCACCGACCUCCGAUCGAUGGCCGUUCGCCUGUCGCCGCCGCCUCCGCCGGAGCCAUACUAGGCGACUUCUUCGUCCGGCGUGUUUUGUCCUUUUUUAUUUCUGGGCUUGUUGA
rnacentral:rRNA from 1 species